rnacentral:lncRNA from 7 species
GGGGGCUUUGGGGGGUCCGAAGUUCUGCUCCGGUGGGAUGCAGAGGGGCUCAAAUGGAGCGGGAGUUGGAGGACAAAGCUGCUGCUGGGGCAACGGGAAGCCCGGCCCUGUGUAGAGAUGAGGGAUUUCCAGGAGGAGAGAUGAAGAUGAGAUAGCAGAGCCGAGGACGUAGAUUUGGGUUGACAGCCGGGGAAGGCUGCAAAUGUUAAAACGGUUGCGCAAAUAAUUAUGCUAAAAUGCUGAGCAUACAUGAUGGAGGAAGAUGCUUGUUGAUUGUAAAGCACGAAUCAAUUCUCUGUGUCACAAAAUUACCGUCAUUGGAGUCGGCUGUGCUGAUUUAUUCCCUCAGCUGAUGGGUUUGUGACUGCAGCCUGCUUCCCCCGGAGAGGGUUUUGAUGGGUGAAGCUUUGCUUUCCCCUUUGUUGUCACUUCCCCUCCCCUGAACCGUUCUUAAAACGGAGCCUUUCAUGCACGCCGCAUCCCAAAACGCCCUGCCAAGUUAAAUAAUGUAGUCACAAAACCAAAUAUUGAAUAAUGACUGAGGGAAGGAUUAAGGGAGGCAGCUGAGCAACAGCAGAGAGAUCCUCGAGUGUUUGGAGCGCAGGAUGGGGAUGCGCUGUGCUGGGAGAGCCCCGAGGACCGCAUCCCCGUGGGUGGGGGUAUGAGAUGUCAACCUGCUCCCAUCCAACCUUUAUCAACCCCGAUCCUUGGCUUGUCUGCAUUUAGAACCCAACAUGGCAGCAGGAGGAAUACUGGGCAUGUCAUUCCUUGGUGUCUUCCAGUCUGGCUUUAACCUGUUGGGUGCAGCGAGCACAUGGUGGGUGGUUAUCCAGUGCUCAUACAGGCAGGAGUAGAUGUGCAGAACGAGGGCUCUCUGUAGCACAAAACUGAUGUAAAUGGCUUUUGUGUAGCUUGAAGAAAAUCUACGAUUCCUCUAAAUCUAAGAGCUGGAAACUCAACAGGCAGGCCAUGAAUUCAGGAGAUGUCUUUGCUGCGAUAAAUUCAAGAUACUGGUUGGGAAAGAAGCAUUGCUCAUCAGGGAGGGUGAUGGGACCUUCUUGUAUUCUGGUUGGUCCGGAGCAGUUUGAAAUGUUACUUAGGAUGAAUUCCAAGGUGAUGAUUUACAUGGCAGGUGACACUGGAAAGCAAAUUAUUCUAGGAGAAGCACGAGAUGGGAUGUAUUUACUGCCUGUCUGGGCAAAUUAUCCACACUCAGAUGUCAGCCAUGUGUUUGUGUAGAAAAUGCCUAUGUCUGAAAUAGCAUAUAAAGUGGAUGCCUGAAAUAACAGUUAAUAAAAGCGAAGCCCCUGUGGCUGUUGCUGCGUCCUCUGCGCUGACCUCUUUGUAGCUCAGCCUUUGGAGGAGCCGAUGUCAGGGACGAUCUGAGGGUGGUUUUGAGUGAGCAAGCACACAGCCCGGUUUAAUUUGCACUGCAGGCCUGGCUUUGCUGGGAACGGAGUGGUGAUGUGUAUUUGCAUGGACACAGCUGCUCGCAGCCCCAUGUGCUGCAGGUAUCAGAACUGCUAAGGGUGGCUUCUCCCUGCUUACCUCUGUUAUCACAUCCCAUCCCAUAGGGAGGCUGCUCCUUUGGGCUCACACCAAUGCCCCAUCGCCGGCUGCUGUUCCUCGGUCUUGUCAGGCUGGCUGCGAUUCACUCUAAAUAUUUAUCCCCCUUCACCUCGUAGCUCUGACUGAUGAGGUUUAAAAAGCAAAAGCAGUGGAGUGCGGGUGGUGAGCUCUGCAAGCUGGUGAUGCUGAGUGGGCUGCAGUGGCUGAGGAAUGGAGGUGCGGUUUUCCAGCCCCGACCGCUCUCCUCCCUGUGUGUCGGGAUGGCUGUAGGGCACAUCUCUCACAGAUGGGUCCCGUGUGCCUUUCGGAUGACUUACUUCAUGUUUUUUAAUCCCGAGAUGGGUUCCAUGAGGAUUGCUUUCUAUUUGUGUGCGUGCCCGUGGAGAGCUCGGGAUCUCAUCUGGCGUUUAAUUAUACACUUCUGUUAUCUAGCAGGUAUUGUAGGUGGAUGUGUAAAUUAGAGUACUUCUGUUUACAUAGAAAUGAAUGUAUGGUAUAAAAACAAUUUACUUGUAAAAAAGACUCAUCCUGUCUCCAGAAUAUGUUUGAAUCGUAACACAAUACAAAGUAAUUUAAUCCCU